UACAGAGGGUGCAAACGUUGUUCGGAAUCACUGGGCAUAAAGCGCACGUAGGCUGUCUCGUAAGUGUGGAGUGAAAUCCCACGGCUCAACCGUGGAACUGCUUGGCAUACUGCGAGACUCGAGGACGGUAGGGGAGAGCGGAACUCCUGGUGGAGCGGUGAAAUGCGUAGAUAUCAGGAGGAACACCGGUGGCGAAGGCGGCUCGCUGGACCUCUUCUGACGCUGAGGCGCGAAAGCUAGGGGAGCAAACGGG
rnacentral:rRNA from 1 species